AAAAUGACAUAUAUAAC
rnacentral:sRNA from 1 species